rnacentral:ncRNA from 2 species
GCACCGGGCCGUGACUGGCGCGCUGGGAUGGGAGCAACCAUCGGGAAGCGGCCCCGGACCCUUCGGGUCCGGAAACAUGUGCCGUGCGCCUGGGCCGACCCG